UAUACACUAAGCCCUAUUCUGUUCAUUCUCUAAAAAGGUCUGAUGGUUUAGGUGUAUUUGAUUUCUUCAGCAGUGUUUAGAAUUCCAGAUAAUUGCUGUAAACAGCAGGUAUUUCUAGGACCUAAACAAGAUGUUGUGUUUUUUGCUUAUAGGUUUUGACUACAAGACUUGUAAUGUGCUGGUAGCCUUGGAGCAGCAGUCACCAGAUAUUGCUCAAGGUGUUCAUCUUGACAGAAAUGAAGAAGACAUUGGUGCUGGAGACCAGGGCUUAAUGUUUGGCUAUGCCACUGAUGAAACUGAGGAGUGUAUGCCUUUAACCAUUGUCUUGGCACACAAGCUAAAUGCCAAACUGGCAGAACUGCGCCGUAAUGGCACUUUGCCUUGGUUACGCCCUGAUUCUAAAACUCAAGUAAGUGAUGAUCAUAAAGCUUGGUUAUCUCAUUUAUUACAUCAGCACAGAAGAUCCAUAAUUUUGAUAAUAGCUAACUGAAGAAAAUAGCAUUUGUUUUCCUGUAUUGUAACUUCAGGUAGAGAAACAAAUACAAAGCUAUUGUUUGGUAUAAUGU
rnacentral:sRNA from 1 species